rnacentral:rRNA from 1 species
GCNGGCGGUUAGAUCAGUCUGAAGUUAAAGGCUGUGGNUUAACCAUAGUACGCUUUGGAAACUGUUUAACUUGAGUGCAGAAGGGGAGGGUGGAAUUCCAUGUGUAGCGGUGAAAUGCGUAGAUAUAUGGAGGAACACCGGUGGCGAAAGCGGCUCUCUGGUCUGUAACUGACGCUGAGGCUCGAAAGCGUGGGGAGCGAACAGGAUUAGAUACCCUGGUAGUNCACGCCGUAAACGAUGAGUGCUAGGUGUUAGGCCCUUUCCGGGGCUUAGUGCCGCAGCUAACGCAUUAAGCACUCCGCCUGGGGAGUACGACCGCAAGGUUGAAACUCAAAGGAAUUGACGGGGGCCCGCACAAGCGGUGGAGCAUGUGGUUUAAUUCGAAGCAACGCGAAGAACCUUACCAGGUCUUGACAUCCCGAUGCCCGCUCUAGAGAUAGAGUUUUACUUCGGUACAUCGGUGACAGGUGGCGCAUGGUUGUCGUCAGCUCGUGUCGUGAGAUGUUGGGUUAAGUCCCGCAACGAGCGCAACCCUUAUUGUUAGUUGCCAUCAUUCAGUUGGGCACUCUAGCGAGACUGCCGGUAAUAAACCGGAGGAAGGUGGGGAUGACGUCAAAUCAUCAUGCCCCUUAUGACCUGGGCUACACACGUGCUACAAUGGCUGGUACAACGAGUCGCAAGUCGGUGACGGCAAGCUAAUCUCUUAAAGCCAGUCUCAGUUCGGAUUGUAGGCUGCAACUCGCCUACAUGAAGUCGGAAUCGCUAGUAAUCGCGGAUCAGCACGCCGCGGUGAAUACGUUCCCGGGCCUUGUACACA